UGUCUGUCCUUCAAAAGAGGAAGUGCUGCUCUGUUGGCCUGGCCUAGAUUCUUCUCCCCACCGCGCUCACAUGAUGUGGCCUCACAUGCUUACUGGUGUGUGUCUGCGUAGUAGGAAGAAGUAUUGCUAUUUCCGAGAAUCCCAUCCUCUCCCAUCUGACAGUUAAGCCAAAAGAGAAUCCCAUCUUCUCCCAUGUGACAGUCGAAGCCGAAAGGUUGUGCGGUGAAAGGCCCCAGGUGAUGCCGCCAGCAAAUUGUGUAUUGUUGUUUUUCGUACUAUGUUGUUCUAUGUUGAUCGCCACUGUCGGAUAUCCCCUUCCUAAAGUACAAGGAAUUUAACACCUUUCCUGUGUGUGUCUGCAAUCAGGUAAUAUAAAACUGAUGUUUAGAUUUAUUUUUACUUACAAAGCAACCCAAAUGCAGUUUGAUUGAUAGUCCCUGUAAUGCUCAAUAAAAGGGUAUGAUUUUUGAAAACGGAGAUAAUUAUCGGUCUAUGAAAAUGAUCGACCCAUAAUGUGAUCUACCCCUAUAAAUAUCUCUUCCCGAAGCUUCUGUCUGUCUCGUCCGUGUUGUCUGCGCACUCAGACAACCAGCUGAUUCAAACAAGGAAAGCCCAGCGCACGAGAGUGGGUUUUAGCCAGAUCUGUGAGUAUGACCACCAUGGGCACAGUGGUGCCACAAACAUGUCUGUUGUAGCAGGGGUUUUCAACCAGUGGUCUGCGGCCCACUUGUGGUCCGUGAGGACAUUGCUGGUGGUCCCUGACCAUGGAUUCAGUAAUGUAGUUGCGAUGUGGGAAUCAGUAUUUUAAUUCAGUGGUGGUCCUGGGGUUACGCAAUUAGUUAGAAUGGUAGUCUCUGGUUCACAAUCAGUUGAAAACCCCUGGCCUGCCCUAGUGCGUCUUCGGCCACGAGAGAUAUUCAGCCAGUAGUUGCCCUGUGUUGUGGGGCAGAGAUCUGAGAGUGAGGAGGAGGAGACAGCGGAGGAUGAUGAUGAUGAUGAUGAUGAUGAUGAUGAAGA